rnacentral:lncRNA from 1 species
CAUCCUGCCAUGCUGGGACAGAUGCAGCUUGAGAGUAGUACAUAGGUUCAGAUUCCAAAGUGGAGGAAGAGGAACCAGAAAAUGCAGGGAGUUGACAGACAUAAUCCUUAAGGUAGGAAGGAGGAUUAUGCUGUCUAGUAGACUUUCUAGAGGUGGGAAUAGGAAGGGAAGGAGGUAAUACAGGAGCAGGGAGGUCUGAAUUGAAAGAAGGAAGGGAAGAAGUAUCAGCAUCAAGAACAGGAGGUGCAGGAGAAUCAGGGGAAGAAAAAAUAGGAAAGUCUGAGACAGUAAAAUCAUCAGCAGGGGGAACAGAAGGAACAGAGGAAGAAGAAGGAUGAACAGAAGUAGGAUUGUCCUUAAAAGGAAAAUAGGAUUCAUGAAAGACAACAUCCCUUGAAACAAAACAUUUCUUGGUAACCAAGUCAUACAGUUUAUAACCCUUUUUAGCAAAGGGGUAACCCAGAAACACACAAGAAUGGGCUCUAGGUUUUAGCUUGUCCCUUUGAGGGAUAGGGACAGCAGCAUAAGCAAGGCAUCCAAAUGCCCUCAAUGGGAAUAGAUGGAGCUUUGCCAUACAAAAUUUCAUGGGGAGACUUAUGGUGAAGAAUUCUGGAAGGUAUUUUGUUAAGAAGAUAGGUGGCAGUUAACAGACAAUCCCCCUAGAAAGACACAGGUAGGCCAGACUGAAAAAGCAAGGCUCUACAUGUUUCAAGGAGUGUUCUGUGUUUUCUUUCAACAAAACCAUUCUGUUGAGGUGAAUGAGGGCAGGAGGUGGUAGGCCAGACUGAAAAAUCAAGGCUCUACAUGUUUCAAGGAUUUUUCUGUGUUUUCUUUCAACAACACCAUUCUGUUGAGGUGAAUGACGGCAGGAGGUUUGAUGAAUAAUCCCCUGGCUACUAAAAAGGAUAUUCCCUCAGUGCUGGAUCCCAGUUCCAAAGCAUUGUCACUUUUGACAGUCUGAACCACAGAGUUAAACUGAGUCUUAACAAAAGAAAUGAAAGACUUAAGCAGGGAAAAGGCAUUGCUUUUGGAUCCCAUUAAGUGUGUCCAGGUUGCCCUAGAAAAAUCAUCAACUAUAGUAAGGAAGUAUUUGUAACCAGAAGAAGUAGUAAGGAAGUAUUUAUAACCAGAAGAAGUAGAAGUGUGGUAAGGUCCCCAGGUGUCUACAUGUAUUAAUUGAAAUGGUCUAGUUGUACUGAUACUGCUGUCAUGAAAAGGGAGUCUAGUCUGCUUUGCCAUAGGGCAGACAGAACAGGGAAAGGGUUGUUUAGGAGCAAGUGGAAAAGACAAACCAGAAAUAUGUCUCAUAUUUUCAAAAGGAGUAUGUGCCAGUCUUAAAUGUCAAAUGUAAUUCAUAUCAUUGAUAACAACAUUAUUACAAAUGGAAUUGUUACAAAUGGAGGUAAGCCAACAUUUUUGCUGUCAGACACAGUGUCAUCAUUACAAAAAUCAG